GGACAGAUGGGAGCUUGCUCCCUGAUGUUAGCGGCGGACGGGUGAGUAACACGUGGGUAACCUGCCUGUAAGACUGGGAUAACUCCGGGAAACCGGGGCUAAUACCGGAUGGUUGUUUGAACCGCAUGGUUCAAACAUAAAAGGUGGCUUCGGCUACCACUUACAGAUGGACCCGCGGCGCAUUAGCUAGUUGGUGAGGUAACGGCUCACCAAGGCAACGAUGCGUAGCCGACCUGAGAGGGUGAUCGGCCACACUGGGACUGAGACACGGCCCAGACUCCUACGGGAGGCAGCAGUAGGGAAUCUUCCGCAAUGGACGAAAGUCUGACGGAGCAACGCCGCGUGAGUGAUGAAGGUUUUCGGAUCGUAAAGCUCUGUUGUUAGGGAAGAACAAGUACCGUUCGAAUAGGGCGGUACCUUGACGGUACCUAACCAGAAAGCCACGGCUAACUACGUGCCAGCAGCCGCGGUAAUACGUAGGUGGCAAGCGUUGUCCGGAAUUAUUGGGCGUAAAGGGCUCGCAGGCGGUUUCUUAAGUCUAAUGUGAAAGCCCCCGGCUCAACCGGGGAGGGUCAUUGGAAACUGGGGAACUUGAGUGCAAAAGAGGAGAGUGGAAUUCCACCUGUAGCGGUGAAAUGCGUAGAGAUGUGGAGGAACACCAGUGGCGAAGGCGACUCUCUGGU
rnacentral:rRNA from 1 species